rnacentral:lncRNA from 1 species
UCUUCACUCUCUAAAUCACCUCCUACUCUUUUCACUCUCUAAACCUCCUACCUCUUCCUAAGCCUUAUCUUAAAAUCAACAGACUUAUCUUAAUAAAAGAACUGUCCUAACAAGACAAGGAGAGAGAGGGAUUGAUUUUGUCUGAGAAUUUUAGUGCCUUGGACUCUUGGAACGAGUUCUAUUUAUAGGAGCAGAAGGGGCACAGAAAAUGG